rnacentral:rRNA from 1 species
GACGAACGCUGGCGGCGUGCUUAACACAUGCAAGUCGAACGGAAAGGCCCUGCUUUUGUGGGGUGCUCGAGUGGCGAACGGGUGAGUAACACGUGAGUAACCUGCCCUUGACUUUGGGAUAACUUCAGGAAACUGGGGCUAAUACCGGAUAGGAGCUCCUGCUGCAUGGUGGGGGUUGGAAAGUUUCGGCGGUUGGGGAUGGACUCGCGGCUUAUCAGUUUGUUGGUGGGGUGGUGGCUUACCAAGGCUUUGACGGGUAGCCGGGCUGGGAGGGUGGCCGGCCAAAUGGGGGCGAAGGAGGCGCCCGGGCCCCUGGGGGGGGGAGGGGGGGGAAAUAUUGAAAAAGGGGCGGAAGCCUGAAGCAGCAACGCCGGGGGGGGGAGGACGGCCUUCGGGUGGAAACCCGCUUUUGCCUGUGACGAAGGGGGAGGACGGGAAAUGGGUAAAAAACCCCGGCUAAAUACGUU